rnacentral:tRNA from 1 species
AGGGAUUUGGCUCAGUGGUAGAGCGCUUGCCUAGCAAGCGCAAGGCCCUGGGUUCAGUCCCCAGCUCUG